CCCCUAGAACGGGCAGAUGAAUAGAAACAAUGCGCAGAAAUUGUUCAUCCACUGCUGAGGAUGGGGCUGCCCUGGGUUAGCACGCCCUGUAACUAUAUAACGAACGCAUGUCACAGAUUCUUCCUGUCUCGCCGACUUGCAUCGAUUCUCGUUCCUAUGACGCGAUUUGACAAGGGGUGCUCCACACGGCCGGACGCCUUGGAAUACGAGGACUCUUCCACUCCAACACACGAAGAAUUUUAAAAAAUAACUGUCGACGCGCCGCCCCGCACGGGACUGUGCGUCGUCAAGUUUUCAUAAUAAACAAGUUGUUGGUGCUACGAUUCAAGCAGUCGGCAAUUCAGCUUGAGCUGGAAAGUAUAACAACCGUAAAUUUUUGAAUAUAUAGAAACAUUAUGCAUGACACCUCUAUAACGGAUGUGAGUUUCUUAACAUAUGAGAUU